GAUGAAGAACGCAGCGAAAUGCGAUACGUAAUGUGAAUUGCAGAAUUCAGUGAAUCAUCGAAUCUUUGAACGCACAUUGCGCCCGCCAGCAUUCUGGCGGGCAUGCCUGUUCGAGCGUCAUUUCAACCCUCGAGCCCCCCCGGGGGCCUCGGUGUUGGGGGACGGCACACCAGCCGCCCCCGAAAUGCAGUGGCGACCCCGCCGCAGCCUCCCCUGCGUAGUAGCACACACCUCGCACCGGAGCGCGGAGGCGGUCACGCCGUAAAACGCCCAACUUUCUUAGAGUUGACCUCGGAUCAGGUAGGAAUACCCGCUGAACUUAAGCAUAUCAAUAAGCGGAGGA
rnacentral:misc_RNA from 1 species